UUGUCGAGCCUGCGACUUUUGUCGCAGAAAGCUCGACAUAGGGAUAGCAAUCCGGCGGCGGCGGCGGCGGCUACGGCGGCGGCGGCGGCGGCGUUAGCUAACUUCUAAAAAGCUUUAUAUUUUAGAAGGUGGAAGGUCUGGAUGCUUCAUACUUUGUAUAUGGAUGCCUCAUGUUACGAAGUUUCUGUCAGUCACAUGUCCAAUGUCCUUGACCUCAUUUUCAUGGUUCAUUGACUACUUGAAAAAAAAGUUAAGAUUUUUUGUAAUGUUAGAUUCUCUCUUAUUAUAAGUAAUAAGAUAACUAUAUUUGGUAUGUGCGUACCUUGCAAGGUCCUCAUGCCCGUCAGACAGUUUUCACUUGACCUCGACCUCAUUUCAUGGAUCAGUGAACAAGGUUAAGUUUUGGUGGUCAAGUCCAUAUCUCAGAUACUAUAAGCAAUAGGUCUACUAUAUAUUCGGUGUAUGGAAGGACUGUAAGGUGUACAUGUCCAACUGGCAGGUGUCAUCUGACCUUGACCUCAUUUUCAUGGUUCAGUGGUUAUAGUUAAGUUUUUGUGUUUUGGUCUGUUUUUCUUAUACUGUAUGCCAUAGGUCUACUAUAUUUGGUGUAUGGAAUGAUUGUAAGGUGUACAUGUCUAGCGGGCAGGUGUCAUUUGACCUUGACCUCAUUUUCAUGGUUCAGUGGUCAAAGUUAAGUUUUUGAGUUUUGGUCUUUUUUUCUAAUACUAUGUGCAAUAGUUCAACUAUAUUUGGUAUGUGCGUACCUUGCAAGGUCCUUAUGCCCGUCAGACAGUUUUCACUUGACCUCGACCUCAUUUCAUGGAUCAGUGAACAAGGUUAAGUUUUGGUGGUCAAGUCCAUAUCUCAGAUACUAUAAGCAAUAGGUCUAGUAUAUUCGGUGUAUGGAAGGACUGUAAGGUGUACAUGUCCAACUGGCAGGUGUCAUCUGACCUUGACCUCAUUUUCAUGGUUCAGUGGUUAUAGUUAAGUUUUUGUGUUUAGGUUUUUUUUCUUAUACUGUAUGCCAUAGGUCUACUAUAUUUGGUGUAUGGAAUGAUUGUAAGGUGUACAUGUGUAGCGGGCAGGUGUCAUCUGACCUUGACCUCAUUUUCAUGGUUCAGUGGUCAAAGUUAAGUUUUUUGAGUUUUGGUCUUUUUUUCUAAUACUAUAUGCAAUAGUUCAACUAUAUUUGGUAUGUGCGUACCUUGCAAGGUCCUCAUGCCCGUCAGACAGUUUUCACUUGACCUCGACGUCAUUUCAUGGAUCAGUGAACAAGGUUAAGUUUUCGUGGUCAAGUCCAUAUCUCAGAUACUAUAAGCAAUAGGUCUAGUAUAUUCGGUGUAUGGAAGGACUGUAAGGUGUACAUGUCCAACUGGCAGGUGUCAUCUGACCUUGACCUCAUUUUCAUGGUUCAGUGGUUAUAGUUAAGUUUUUGUGUUUUGGUCUGUUUUUCUUAUACUGUAUGCAAUAGGUCUACUAUAUUUGGUGUAUGGAAUGAUUGUAAGGUGUACAUGUCUAGCUGGCAGGUGUCAUCUGACCUUGACCUCAUUUUCAUGGUUCAGUGGUCAAAGUUAAGUUUUUGAGUUUUGGUCUUUUUUUCUAAUACUGCAUGCAAUAGGUCAGCUAUAUUUGGUGUAUGGAAUGAUUGUAAGGUGUACAUGUCUAACUGGCAGGUGUCAUCUUACCUUGACCUCAUUUUCAUGGUUCAGUGGUAAAAGUUAAGUUUUUGAGUUUUGGUCUUUUUUUCUAAUACUAUAUGCAAUAGUUCAACUAUAUUUGGUGUAUGGAAAUAUUUUAUGAUCUAUAUGUCAGUCACGCAGGUUUUAUUUGACCUUGACCUCAUUUUCAAGGUUCAUUGCUCAGUGUUAAGUUUUUGUGUUUUCGUCUGUUUUUCUUAAACUAUAAGCAAUAGGUCAACUAUAUUUGUUGUAUGGAAGAAUUGUUAGCUGCCUGCCUAGCAUGGUUCAUCUGACCUUGACCUCAUUUUCAUGGUUCAUUGGUCAAUGUUUAGUUUACUUGGUUAAUGUUAAGUUUAUGUGACAGUUGUAAUAAAGCUUUAUAUUUAGGACUAUCAACAUAAUAUCAAUGAUUAGUAAAGAAGGCGAGACAUUUCAGCGUGUGCACUCUUGUUCUUA